UACGUAGGGUGCAAGCGUUAAUCGGAAUUACUGGGCGUAAAGCGUGCGCAGGCGGUUUUUGUAAGUCUGUCGUGAAAUCCCCCGGGCUCAACCUGGGAAUGGCGAUGGAGACUGCAAGGCUAGAGUUUGGCAGAGGGGGGUAGAAUUCCACGUGUAGCAGUGAAAUGCGUAGAUAUGUGGAGGAACACCGAUGGCGAAGGCAGCCCCCCUGGGUCAAAACUGACGCUCAUGCACGAAAGCGUGGGGAGCAAACAGG
rnacentral:rRNA from 1 species